CGCCUACAAUGAGAGGGGGAUCACAAAAUAACGCCUGGGAUAUACACUGAAGGAGCUAUCAGCGUUUUGUUUAGGAAAUGGAACAGACCCAUCAGCUUCUUCUUAAACAGAAAUGAGGAGUUAACCUAGAGCUGGCCGCAAUUUGAGCAAAAUAAAAAACAAAUCGUACCCCCGACUCCGUCUUCUCCCAAAUGACCCCCCGUUAGUCAUCUUCUCCAUUCCAAAACCAACGAAAUUUCACUCUAUCCCCUCCCUGACUUGAACUCCGGCCAGCAACCACACUCACAACCUACAGCCGCAACCAAACGGAGCUCCACUGGUUGGAGAAAUCGAUACUUAUCGUUGGAGUUUGGCUGGAAGGUUCAGAUUGGACAGUGAAGCUUGAAUGCCGAUCUGUUUGGUUUCGAGCUCCGGCGAUGACUAUUGUUCUUCUUUCUCCCUCGUUUAUCCAUUUUCUCUAUUACUGCUGCGACGAGGAUAACGGAUCUGACCAAAUAUACAUGUUUUCCAUCAGCUCAUUUCCAGUACAUGUGAGGUCUAUGUUCAGUCGCGAAGUCACCGAUUUCAGUUCCGUCCGAGGUUCGUGGUUUCGAUUUGGCUUGCUGUUUCUGCUCGAUAACAUUGCUCUUUUCAGUUGGAGUUUGGACCAAAACAUUGUAUCUGCUGAUUUUUCUAUUGUUAUUAAAAGAACUUCGAAUAAACAGGUAAAAAAGGAGGUGUGACAGCCUCCCUACUGGCCCAUCUGGGGCUAGCACAUCUACUGGUACUGCUACCCCACCAUCCCUGGAUGACAUGGUCAAAGAGCAAAAAUCAAUAACGGGCAAGAUGGAGGCCAUGAACAACAGGUUGGAAAAUAUGAGCCACCGACAAGGGAAAAUUGAGAAGCGGCAGAGAAAGUUCAGGGAUCACGAAGAGAAAAAGAGCAAAUUCCUAAACAAAAUGAUGGAUAUGCUGAGGUCGUUUUACAGUUCAAAUGACUCUGAUGAUGAUGAUGAGGAGGAGGAGCUCAAAUUUCUUUCCACCUCCAGCUCCGACUGAGGCCGAUUCAGGGAGCCCCUCUAACUAUUAUACUUUUUGUUUUGAUAUUGUGCAGUGAGGACACUGCAAUUAUUUUAGUUGGGGGUGACACACUUUAUUUAUAUAUUUAUUCUUGACUUAUGCCCUUGUCGGGAUAAUGAGUUUGUAUGGAUAUUGUGUGCCCUUGUCGGGCUUGUGUUGUGAUUAAUAUAGUGGUGGAUUUGUCACUUUUGUUAUUUUA